GACGUAGGGCGCGAGCGUUGUCCGGAUUUAUUGGGCGUAAAGAGCUCGUAGGUGGUUUGUCGCGUUGUUCGUGAAAACUCACAACUCAAUUGUGGGCGUGCGGGCGAUACGGGCAGACUGGAGUACUGCAGGGGAGACUGGAAUUCCUGGUGUAGCGGUGGAAUGCGCAGAUAUCAGGAGGAACACCGGUGGCGAAGGCGGGUCUCUGGGCCGUAACUGACGCUGAGGAGCGAAAGCAUGGGGAGCGAACAGG
rnacentral:rRNA from 1 species